GUUCUACUAAGAUGUCAUGACAAACGGCACCUGUCAGAGUGCUCUCUAAGUGUUACUCACCUGCUUGGAUGUCAGCUGGCAGAGUGGCGAAGACGGCCAUCGUGAGAGUCCUUUCUUCAGGUGUGACGUCCACAACCUCCAAGAGGGAAGAGAUGGGCUCUGCCUCUGUAUUAGGGGUGAUGUCCACCACAUUCAGGUUGGAAGAAGCCGGAUCUGCCUCUGUAUUAGGGGUGAUGUCCACCACAUUCAGGUGGGAAGAUGCCGGGUCUGCCUCUGUCUUAGGGGUGAUGUCCUCAACCUCCAGGUGGAAAGAAGCCGGAUCUGCCUCUGUGUUAGGGGUGAUGUCUUCAACCUCAAGGUUGGAAGAAGCCGGGUCUGUGUUAUGGGUGACAACAACAAUCCUGAUGAGCUCUACUACUACAAGGCACCUAGAUGUCAUCGGAACAGGCAUCUGUCAGAGUGCUCUCUAUCAUUGCUACUCACCUGCUUGGAUGCCAGCUGGUAGUGUGGUGGAAACGGCCACCGCGAGGACAGGGGGGACUGGUAGGGUGGCUGCAGGGGGCUGGAAGCAGCUCUGCACCUCGUCCGCCACAAAGGCACAGACAGAGCUCAUAUAAAAAGGGCUCUGGAGGUCAUCGGUGGAGAAGGACUGACUGAUUCUCCCGAGGAUCGACCACACAGAGUCAAAAGCAGCAGCCCGGGAGAAAAGGAUGUGAGGGGAAGGGUCCUUUAACAUGCAGGAGAGCUUCUCCACUACGGCCGCCAACAUGCCCACGGCCAUCCCGCUUAUUAGGAUUGGGAGCUCUGAAUGUCCUUCUUCUGGCUGCAGCCACAGGGCCAGGAGGAGCCUGGGAACCACCUCCACCACCACCUGAGAUGGGCUGGGCAGGUUGCUACGGGGCUCAUUGGACUGCUUGCCCAGAAUGCUUCUCACAGCACUUUCCACGAUGCUGUGGACCUUAGGAUCGCUGAAAUCAACAAAAAGGAGAAGACAAAGCUAAACGAUGUGCAAUGUGCUCACAUAGAACACUGUCUUUGUCAGUUUUUGCGUAGUUCCAGAUGUGUAGAUAAAUGGAUCAAGUCAUAUGCAGG
ensembl:lncRNA